UAUAAGAGAUUCUGAGUUGUUGCUUGUAACGUUUGACCACUCGUCUUAUUCAAAAUUUUUUAAGAUUAUUAUUUAUUUUAUUUGUGACUUACUUUAUUAUUUACAGUAUUUUAAGCCCAACUUUUUAUUUUUUAUAUUUGUAAAAAAAAAAUUGAAUAAGACGAGUGAUCAAACGUUACAAACAAAAACUCAAAAUACUCAAA
rnacentral:pre_miRNA from 1 species